AAGGUCGUAACAAGGUUUCCGUAGGUGAACCUGCGGAAGGAUCAUUACAAAGUAAAUGCUGGUAGGAAGUGGGGUUCUUGAUCUGUAAGUAGUAGAGCGAACAGUCCGGCUGCCUCCCGAAACUGUCUUACAUGUCCCUCACAGCCCUGAAGGGCCGAAAUUUACAACCCUUGAUUAUCUACACUUGUCGCUUUGGGGCUGCUCAAGUGCCCCAAGAGGGCCCGAACUCUCUUGCAUUUAAGUGACGUCUGAGUACUAUAUAAUAUUUAAAA
rnacentral:misc_RNA from 1 species